rnacentral:rRNA from 1 species
CCAAGGAAGGCAGCAGGCGCGCAAAUUACCCACUCCCGGCACGGGGAGGUAGUGACGAAAAAUAACAAUACGGGACUCUUUUGAGACCCCGUAAUUGGAAUGAGAACAGCCUAAACAUUUUAUCGACGAACGAUUGGAGGUAAAGUCUGGUGCCAGCAUCCGCGGUAACACCAGCUCCAAUAGCGUAUAUUAAAGUUGUUGCGGUUAAAAAGCUCGUAGUUGGAUCUUGGGCCGCGCGGCUCGGUCCGGCGAUAGCCUGGAUACUGGGUCUCGCGCGGUCGCUCGGCAGGCCAGGGUCCAUGAUCUUGACCGGUUGUGGGCUCGGGCCGGCACGUUUACUUUGAAAAAAUUAGAGUGCUCAAAGCAGGCUUUACGCCUGGAUAGUGUUGCAUGGAAUAAUGGAACAGGACCUCGGUUCUAUUUUGUUGGUUUUCGGAAUGCGAGGUAAUGAUUAAGAGGGACAGCCGGGGGCAUUCGUAUUGCGCCGCUAGAGGUGAAAUUCUUGGACCGGCGCACGACGAACUACUGCGAAAGCAUUUGCCAAGAAUGUUUCCAUUAAUCAAGAACGAAAGUCAGAGGUUCGAAGGCGAUCAGAUACCGCCCUAGUUCUGACCGUAAACGAUGCCAGCCAGCGAUCCGGCUGCGUUAAUCUUAUGACGCGCCGGGCAGCUUCCGGGAAACCAAAGCUUUUGGGUUCCGGGGGGAGUAUGGUUGCAAAGCUGAAACUUAAAGGAAUUGACGGAAGCGCACACAAGAAAUGGGGCCUGCGGCUUAAUUUGACUCAACACGGUGCAACUCACCCGGCCCGGACACAGGAAGGAUUGACAGAU